UCACCGAAAGGGCACAGCAGGGGCAACCCUGUGUCGCAAAGCUACCAUCCCUGAGCGGGGAUAGAGGGGUUAUCGAA
rfam:Pelobacter propionicus DSM 2379, complete genome.